CUACAGGCGCACACUACUACCCCCACCGCGCACGCCGCCCUACCCCGCCUCCUGCUCCGCCGCCGCCGCCGCCGCCGAUGGACCCGCUCUCCGCCCUCCGCGACUUCACCAUGCGCGGCGACCUCGAGAAGGUGGUCCGCGCCGGCGAGGAGUUCCGGUUCGGCACCGACUACUCCUUCCCGUGCGCCGCCGAGACGGCGUACCGGUCCAAGCAGGGCAGCCUCUACACCCUGGAGACCCUCCUCUUCUUCGUCACCCACCACCACCUCAAGCACACCGACUACAUCCAGUCCGCCCGCCUCCGCCACCUCCCCACCGUCACCUUCAUCGACCGCAAGCCCCUCCUCGACUACCUCCAGGGCAAGAUCUCCUCCUCCGACGCCAUCCAGCUCUUCCCUUCCUCCUCCUCCUCCGCCUCCGCCUCCGCCGCCGCCGCCGCCGCCGACCCCGCCAUGCCCCCCGACGCCUUCGCCUUCGCCUUCGCCGCCGCCCCCGCCUCCGCCUCCGCCUUCGCCGCCGAGCCCGAGGGGGAGGCGGAGGAGGACGCGGCGGCGGUCGAUGUGAUGGCCCUGGUACGGGCGGUCGAGCGGCCGCUCAAGGACCGGGAGGCGAUCCUGGAGUGCAAGAACCGGGACUUCUACUCCGUGCUCGUCGCCUCGACGCGGCGCGAGGAGGAGCGGCAGAGGAUCGAGUCGCAGCAGCGGAAGGAUGGGCUGGUGGCGAAGAGCCGCCUGAUGGGCGCGGAGGACAGGGGGCUGGGGUUCGGCGAGGAGCUAGGGUUUGGGGAUUCUGCGAUUAAGCCGAAACUGAACCUCAAGGGGAGCAAGAUCGGGGAGGGCGUGCCGAUAAUCCUCGUGCCCAGCGCGUUCCAGACGCUGAUCACGAUAUACAAUGUGAAGGAGUUCUUGGAAGAUGGGGUUUUUAUCCCCACGGAUGUGAAGGCGAAGCAGAUGAAGGGGCCGAAGCCGGAUUGCGUCACGGUGCAGAAGAAGUUCAGUAGGGAUAGGGUGGUGACGGCCUACGAGGUGAGGGAUAAGCCGUCGGCAUUGAAGUCGGAGGAUUGGGACCGGGUCGUGGCGGUCUUCGUGUUGGGGAAGGAGUGGCAGUUCAAGGACUGGCCUUUCAAGGACCACGUGGAGAUCUUCAAUAAGAUAAUUGGGUUCUUUAUGAGGUUUGAAGAUGACAGCGUGGAAUCUGCGAAAAUUGUAAAGCAGUGGAAUGUAAAGAUUAUCUCGAUAAGUAAAAAUAAGCGACAUCAGGAUCGGGCUGCUGCUCUUGAGGUGUGGGAAAAACUAGAAGAAUUUGUUCGGUCACGAUCGCAUGCUUAAUUGGCCAGGAGUUUGUCGAGAAAGCUUUGUGAGGUCUUCUGGACAGUCGUGAGCUCUUUGACCUUUGUAAAUGCUGUCGAUUUACUUUGUAAAGACUCAACUUCCUGACUUAUCCAAAACUCGGAACUGUGCAAGUAUACAACAAUCGGAGCUUGCAACUGAUCCACAUAUGCUUGAACAGCAAAGAACAAGAACCAAGGUACAAGUUCCGUGUGGCAUCGGGAACUGGAAUGAUCGAAUCACUGCGUCCUGCUUCAAGAUUUUUCUCCAGAGGCAAACUCAAAUUUGCUGUUGUCAUCUCUUAAUAAAGAAACGAGGGUGAUUGUGAAGAAAUGGUUUUAUAAUUUUGAUGUUUCUAGGCAUUGAAGCUUCAUGGAGUUCUUUGUAGAUGUAUCCUUAAGGUCCGAAUAUUUCAUGUGCUUUGCACUUCCUAGAUUAUCUCGUGUGAAACUCAAGAGCUUGAUAUUAAUGGUCAUUGUUUUUAA